rnacentral:rRNA from 1 species
UACAGGGGGGUGCAAACGUUGCUCGGAAUCAUUGGGCGUAAAGCGCACGUAGGCGGUCUGUUAUGUCGGAUGUGAAAGCCCUUGGCUCAACUGAGGAAGUGCAUCCGAAACUGGCAGGCUAGAGUACUAAAGAGGAUCGCGGAAUUCCCGGUGUAGAGGUGAAAUUCGUAGAUAUCGGGAGGAACACCGGUGGCGAAGGCGGGCGACUCG